UACGAAGGGGGCUAGCGUUGUUCGGAAUCACUGGGCGUAAAGCGCACGUAGGCGGCUUUUUAAGUCAGGGGUGAAAUCCCGGGGCUCAACCUCGGAACUGCCUUUGAUACUGGAGAUCUUGAGUCCGGAAGAGGUAAGUGGAACUGCGAGUGUAGAGGUGAAAUUCGUAGAUAUUCGCAAGAACACCAGUGGCGAAGGCGGCUUACUGGUCCGGAACUGACGCUGAGGUGCGAAAGCGUGGGGAGCAAACAGG
rnacentral:rRNA from 1 species